CCCCGCACACUUGUUGAGCGCCACGGCCCGACAUCGACACACACGUACGAAAAGGCGAAAGUGAAGAUCAUCGACGUACGUCAGCCCCGCGCCAUUCACGCUGCUCCCCGUUCGCGUCUGUACUGGUGUGCAGAUAGAGAGAGAACUGGCGCGUUGCGUCCUUUGACUUUGAUCGUCGCCCUCCCGCCCCCGACUUGCCCGCCUCCUCCUCGUUGGAGUGACUGGCCGGGGCAAGCGCCGCAGGCCCCGCGGUGGACUGUGCAACAGGGACAAAGGGCGACAACGACAUCAGAAGCGCUACGGAAGUGUCUCGGCGGGACGCUGCGUCCUCCCUGUAUCCGUUUUUGUUUCCCGCGCGCUGAUUCACAGUUGCAAAACAGGAGUCUCCCAUACUGACCGAUUGCGUUUCACGAUGAACAGCGCUGACGCGCUAGAGCCGAUACCCCGCAGCAUUGCUCCGGAUCAGGAGUUGGCUAUCCUCAAGCUCAUCCUCGACUUACGCAGCCUGGGCGAUGUGGACGGCAGCAAAAAGAUACGGCGGCGAGUGCGUGAGGCGCUUCUGAAGAGCAGCGACGAUUCAGAGGCGAUGAGCAAGGUGGAUGAUAUCAUCCGUCGAGGUAAGCGCACGCAGAGCAAGUUGGACGGAAGCUACGAGGAACGGCAGCGACUCAAACGUAAGCGUCGUGAGGAAGACUUGGCGGCGGCGUCACGCCUCGUCGACGUUGAGGCAGGCAGCGGCGAGGACUCGGAGGGAUCAGCAUCUACGGAAGAGGACGGCACCGAGGAAUAGUGGAGAUGUGCUACGUCAUGGCAUCUGAGCUGCAUCACUGUGCGAGUGCGAGUGCGCGUGUUUACUCACCGUGGGGCCCGCUUCGAUCCGCCGCGACAGCACAGUGACGGGGCGGCCCACAGUUGGCGGUGCCCUUUGCAUUCACGUCUGCGCCAAUGUGGCGUUGGGUCUGCCUCUCUUUCUCUCUGUGUGCGACAGGGCGUUGCGGAAAUCACAUGUCGUCUCCUUCGUUUUAAAGACGCACAAACGGCAACAAGAUAGAUGAAGUGCGUCCCAAGUAACAUCGCGCAUGCCCAAGCGUGUGGGUUUGUGUAUGUGUGUGUGAGGCAGGACUGUGCUUCCGGCAGCCUCGUCACAUUGAACAAGCCGCCGCCUCCGUCCCCUUCCCCUUCACCUUCUCUCUCGCAUGCGAGAUGCGAUUGACGCCCUCGCCAUCAGCAUGGACUUGCUUCUUCGUUUCAAUGCCCAAGGGUUUUGUCUGACGGAGAAAGCGAGGAGGAAGGAGAGGGGUGGCUUCGAUAAGCAUGAGCACAGGUGGUCAUGCACACAAACUUGCAUGCAUGUAGGCGUGCCCGUCACCCUUCUCACAUGCUUGAGCAGUUUUCCCUUUGAGGCUUUUGCGUUUUUGUUCUUCUCCAGGAGGGUUCACGUCGAGCGCUACGGUAAUGAGGCGCUAUCUGCGACCUUUCGGUGCUCCAUGAGCGAGCUCUUCUCCUCGUGCGCGUCCGCGCAGAAACGCAAUUCGAGGGUCCCGCCUCCUUUUGGCAGCACAGCGUCCUGUGCGCGUAGUCUUCUCUCCGAUGGCUCACGCGCUCUUUCCGCCGACAGCCGCUCCCCAUCUCGCUGGUCGGAGCGCGAAGCCGAGGCAACGCGUAAUCUCGAAACGAUGGGGGCGAGGCACUUUGGACGGUUUGCACCGACGGCGGAGAGAGGGGCCGGGUGCCCCCUCGGGCGGGGGCAGGAACGGUUCGGGCAGCCCAAACGGCUCGCAGAGAAACUGGGAGUGGGGGACGGCGAAGGCGACCGUUGCAGCGCUGGCGUCGGCAAUUCCGUGACGACUUUGUUCUUUCAAGCCCGGGCAACACAACAAAUGCUCAGGGGUCUCUUGGCAGCGGUGGUUGCGCAUCCACAGUGCGGCUUUGACAGGCUCACGAACGCCGUCGGUGCCGUUGAGGUGCACCGCGAGUGCUACACGCUCCACAUCUCACGUCACCGCAAAAAAGAGGCGUCCGUGCGCAGAACGCGCGCGUGGGUGAUGUCGCCGCGCGUGACCACGUGUGACAGCGGGGUAGUGCAUACAGGGGGAAGUAUCCCCCCCGCACCACCACCACCACCACCACCGUGAUCACGUCGCUACCCACGGCCUGUCUGCCGGAGUCUACGCCGCGCUCGCCUACCUCAAAAGGCAGGUUUGCUGGCGCUCGGCUUUCCCCAUCGCGGGGCUCUGGACCGUAGCAACACGCUGAGGUGGCCGGCUUCGCCACAGUUGAGUCUUUGCCCCCUCUCCAAUCAUCUGUGUAUAUCUGACGGUUCAACAUUAGCAUCGUUCCUCUGUCGUCUUCUCUCCUGCUCUCCCCUCCCUUUCCUCUAUGCAUCGCCCACAG
rnacentral:misc_RNA from 1 species